rnacentral:rRNA from 1 species
AUUGAACGCUGGCGGAAUGUUUUACACAUGCAAGUCGAGCGGCAGCGCGGGGCAACCUGGCGGCGAGCGGCGAAUGGGUGAGUAAUACAUCGGAACGUGCCCAGACGUGGGGGAUAACUACUCGAAAGAGUGGCUAAUACCGCAUACGAUCUAAGGAUGAAAGCGGGGGAUCGCAAGACCUCGCGCGUUUGGAGCGGCCGAUGGCAGAUUAGGUAGUUGGUGGGGUAAAGGCUUACCAAGCCCGCGAUCUGUAGCUGGUCUGAGAGGAUGAUCAGCCACACUGGGACUGAGACACGGCCCAGACUCCUACGGGAGGCAGCAGUGGGGAAUUUUGGACAAUGGGCGAAAGCCUGAUCCAGCCAUUCCGCGUGCAGGAUGAAGGCCCUCGGGUUGUAAACUGCUUUGUACAGAACGAAAAAGACUCUUUCUAAUACAGAGAGUCCAUGACGGUACUGUAAGAAUAAGCACCGGCUAACUACGUGCCAGCAGCCGCGGUAAUC